GGCUCACAAGGCGUCGACGGGUAGCCGGCCUGAGAGGGUGACCGGCCACACUGGGACUGAGACACGGCCCAGACUCCUACGGGAGGCAGCAGUGGGGAAUAUUGCACAAUGGGCGCAAGCCUGAUGCAGCAACGCCGCGUGAGGGAUGACGGCCUUCGGGUUGUAAACCUCUUUUAGCAGGGAGAAGCGAAAGUGACGGUACCUGCAGAAAAAGCGCCGGCUAACUACGUGCCAGCAGCCGCGGUAAUACGUAGGGCGCAAGCGUUAUCCGGAAUUAUUGGGCGUAAAGAGCUCGUAGGCGGUUUGUCGCGUCUGCUGUGAAAUCCCGAGGCUCAACCUCGGGUCUGCAGUGGGUACGGGCAGACUAGAGUGCGGUAGGGGAGAUUGGAAUUCCUGGUGUAGCGGUGGAAUGCGCAGAUAUCAGGAGGAACACCGAUGGCGAAGGCAGAUCUCUGGCCGUAACUGACGCUGAGGAGCGAAAGGGUGGGGAGCAAACAGGCUUAGAUACCCUGGUAGUCCACCCCGUAAACGUUGGGAACUAGUUG
rnacentral:rRNA from 1 species